rnacentral:rRNA from 1 species
UAUCCUACGGGACGCAGCAGUCGGGAAUAUUGCGCAAUGGAGGCAACUCUGACGCAGUGACGCCGCGUAUAGGAAGAAGGUUUUCGGAUUGUAAACUAUUGUCCUCAGGGAAGAAAAAAGACUGUACCUGAGAAGAAAGCUCCGGCUAACUACGUGCCAGCAGCCGCGGUAAUACGUAGGGAGCAAGCGUUAUCCGGAAUUAUUGGGUGUAAAGCGAGUGCAGGCGGUUCAAUAAGUCUGAUGUGAAAACCUUCGGCUCAACCGGAGAAUUGCAUCAGAAACUGUUGAACUU